ACGGAGUUUUCCUCACAAAGAAUGGUGAGCUUGACCAAGGUGGGAGCUUGGGCAUUGGAGGAGGGAGAAGGGCAGAGGACUCACCAAACAAGAGGACUGGAGAGUCCAAUGGCCAAUCCCACUUCUGACACCAUUAAACAUCAACUGGACUAGACCUCUUGGCCUGCAGAGACUGUAGCCAAACAGGCAGAGCAGGCCAAGAAAUCAACCAGCUGUUUCCCUUAUCCCCUUACUCCCUGGGACAGACCUGAAGGUCAGAAGAUGAGUGCCACUGAGGGCCACAAGAAAAGUGCUCUGCCUGCCAACAAGCAGGUGAGGGAAGGAGAGCCCUGAGAGGGGUACAAGAACCCUAAGGGGUCAUUGUACUCAUCUCAAAGAUCAACAGAUGCUAGUCAGUGACCUUCAACAUUCUGAACACAUCCAAGAUACUGAGGAACAGUCUGCUUCAGAGGGGCUGCUAAGAAAACUGAAACCAUGGCCUCUUCCCUCAUUCAAAGUGGGAUCUGUCUCUUCCCCCAUAUUACCACCACCACUGCUGGCAGCAGAACGUUUCCUUAGACCAGGGGCAAGAUGAACUAUCCUAUGAGUGGCAAAACUGUUUAUUUCUUCUGGGAAGGAAGGGAAAGGCAAGUACAAGUUCGAAAGUUAUAUCCUUAAACUG